rnacentral:rRNA from 1 species
CGGGAGUGAGAACGGGGGCGACGGUGAUGCGUUCGUCAGGGAAGAACGCGAAGCAAUGGACGUUGUGUUACAGGCGCUGGACGGGGAGCACAUGUCAUGAAUAUCAACACGGAAACCCGCGAAAUUCUGCGCAAUUACAAAGCCGUGAUUAAUGCGCGGCGUCGUGAAAUAGGGCAGAAACCGCUCACCACCGCGCAGAUUGUUGAUGAAAUCUGCGAUUUUGUAGUGAAUCAGCAGGCGGUUUUCCUCGGCGGUCACUACAUCUUACAGGGCAGCAGAAACAGGUGAUACAGGGCAGGCGGUGGAGGCCGCCUGUC